ACGGGAGGCAGCAGUGAGGAAUAUUGGUCAAUGGGCGGAAGCCUGAACCAGCCAAGUCGCGUGAAGGAUGAAGGUAUUAUGUAUUGUAAACUUCUUUAGACGUAGAGAAAUAAGGUGCUCGUGAGCACUGAUGCUAGUAUACGUAGAAUAAGGAUCGGCUAACUCCGUGCCAGCAGCCGCGGUAAUACGGAGGAUCCGAGCGUUAUCCGGAUUUAUUGGGUUUAAAGGGUGCGCAGGCGGUCUUUUAAGUCAGUGGUUAAAUCGUGAGGCUCAACCUCAUCACGCCAUUGAUACUGGAGGACUUGAUUGCGGUUGAGGUUGGCGGAAUUCGCCGUGUAGCGGUGAAAUGCUUAGAUAUCACGAAGAACUCCGAUUGCGAAGGCAGCUGGCGGUACCGUUACCGACGCUCAUGCUCGAAAGUGUGGGUAUCGAACAGGAUUAGAUACCCUGGUA
rnacentral:rRNA from 1 species